ensembl:snoRNA small nucleolar RNA SNORD19
AGGAAAUGAGGAAACAAAUGCAAGUCUCGAUUUACCAUGAAGACUACUAAUCCAACUCUGAUCCUGCUGACAUC